CCAGACAGCCAGGAUGUUGGCUUAGAAGCAGCCAUCAUUUAAAGAAAGCGUAAUAGCUCACUGGUCGAGUCGGCCUGCGCGGAAGAUGUAACGGGGCUAAACCAUGCACCGAAGCUGCGGCAGCGACGCUUAUGCGUUGUUGGGUAGGGGAGCGUUCUGUAAGCCUGUGAAGGUGUACUGUGAGGUAUGCUGGAGGUAUCAGAAGUGCGAAUGCUGACAUAAGUAACGAUAAAGCGGGUGAAAAGCCCGCUCGCCGGAAGACCAAGGGUUCCUGUCCAACGUUAAUCGGGGCAGGGUGAGUCGACCCCUAAGGCGAGGCCGAAAGGCGUAGUCGAUGGGAAACAGGUUAAUAUUCCUGUACUUGGUGUUACUGCGAAGGGGGGACGGAGAAGGCUAUGUUGGCCGGGCGACGGUUGUCCCGGUUUAAGCGUGUAGGCUGGUUUUCCAGGCAAAUCCGGAAAAUCAAGGCUGAGGCGUGAUGACGAGGCACUACGGUGCUGAAGCAACAAAUGCCCUGCUUCCAGGAAAAGCCUCUAAGCAUCAGGUAACAUCAAAUCGUACCCCAAACCGACACAGGUGGUCAGGUAGAGA
rnacentral:rRNA from 1 species